AGAAAACCUUUAUUUCAAGACUUUAGGCAUGUUAAACAUGAUAAUGGCUGAAGUUCAUUUGCAUACACAAUCUACUCUCCCAUCAUCACAAUUUAAGCGUACAGAAGUUUAGAAACUGAUACAUGGUACAACUGACUACUUGCAAAGCGAAGCCAGCACUCGACGGGGCGGAUUGAAAGAUUUGCGGGCAUGAAGAACAGCCCAGUUAUCUAUCAACAGAAAAUCACCUUUCUGCCAAGGAAUGGCAACACUUUCAUCUUCGAGAAUUUUCAAGCAGUCAUAGAUGAUAUCACCUGGUAAUGGUUUCCCAUCCCCAAAUGUCACAGCCUUCUUAGGAUCAUUUCUGGCAUCUUCCCAGCCUGUGUAGGCAGCCACCAUGCUAUUGAACCAAAUCUUGCGAUUUCUGGACUUGUCGUAUUUGACGGCCGGUAUAGGACCCAUUAUUGUUUUCACUCCAUCUUCCGACCAUUCCAACUUCAUUCCCAGCUUAGCUGCCCUUUCUGCAGCCACACUCUUGUCUUUGGUCAAAAACGUCGACUUCCAUCCGCGGCCAAUCGGAGAUGAAGGAUCGUCAUCUUCACCCAAUACUCGAUUAUAAAUCAAACCAUGCUCCUCCAAUCGUUCAACGAAAUCUGAAUACCUCUCUUUCAUUCUUUCAUAGAUGAUAUGGCUAAGAACUAUAGGAGUUUCUCCCCCACUCCCUGGUUCCACUUCACAAAAGAAAAACAAUUUUGAUGGAAAUUCUGGAACCUGUGCCAUCUCAUGAUGGAAGGGGAUCUUCUGAUCAGGUGGAGACUCAUUGGCUGUGAAGACCCGUCCAAUAACGUUAGUCCGAGGAGCAGCCCCACCGACGUAAGGCAACUCCUCGAACCCGAAUGCCUCGACAACGUUGUUGAAGUCCGAGGCAGUGUUUACGGGAAAGCCUCUGAAGAGAAUCGCUCCAGUUUUGCGUAGCAAAGAGUCAAGGUACGGUUUUUCGGUUUUUAUGGAGCCAGUGAGAGAAGAAACAGAGGAAGGAAAGGAAAAAGAAGUGUUUGGAGAGAGAAGCGAAGGGAAAGGAACGGAAUUGAAGCGUUUUUGGCGAGGGAUUUCAAUUUCCUUGAAAUGUUUUGCCAUUCUUGCUUCUGUGUUGCUGCUUCGAAACUGUGAUUAGUUUUGUUCAAUUUUUCAAUGUGG
rnacentral:misc_RNA from 1 species